GUUGGUUGUAUGUGUUUCCCUGUUGUCAUACUUGUGGAGCUUCACCCCUACCUGCUGAUAUCAAAGGCACCCUCUCAGGUUUUGUGUGGAAGCUUCUCCACCAUUACUGCUGCUCUCAGUGGGAAAGGAACUCCAGGUGCCCCAAGAAUACAACAGAAAAACUACUGGCAAAAUGGCAAAACAAGAUAGCUGGCUGGCUUGAUAAGAAUGUUGUAACAGCAUUUUAAAUUGCUGAAUAGCUUACAUUCCUGUCUGAAGACAAUACUCCCAUCAAAUUCCAGAGACUAAGAUGUUAUCUCCAUAGGUGGCAUUUUGUUACAAAGAUGUCUGAGGAAAAAUGCAUUUCCUUAAAUGUUAAGGAACAGCACCCCAGCAGAGGUGUCAAAACUGCCUCUGAGAUCUAUGCUAAAUAGAUUUCCUAUGCCAAAGAAGUUAUUUGAAUCCAAUUUUUGGCCUCACCAAUCCAAGGCACGGAGUCCUUGGGAUUUGCUUCAGGGAAUGCUUGCUGCCAUGUCCUACCCCAGUAAAGAACCUAGCAACAGCUCCCACUUCACUUUUCCUAGAAGGAGGCUCUCAACUAUAAUAGGUUCAGAGGAGUCCACUGAAGUGCUGUGCCAAACUGUCAUCAGCCAUAUGUCAUCAAUCAAACGAUCGAGAGAUCCUGCAGAAUUGAAUGGCAAAAGCAAGGAGGUCACUACAGAACAAACAUCUAAAUGGCAAGACACAACUUUAAAAGAAUCAACAACAAAAAAAAAGAAAAAAGGAAAUAUUGACAAAAAGCUUGUGGAAAAGAAAGUAAGAGAGUGGGAAUUAUGCCAACUUAAAAACAUUGAAGAAGCAACUACCCAUGAACUGACAAUUGAAGAAAUUUGAACUUUUAAAUGAGCACUGAUUACUUAUACUUCUACAAAUGGUAGUUGGGAGGGGCAGAGUAGCAAGGUGAUGAUAGACAAGUGAGGGCAAGUAACAUUCAAAUAACCUGAUCCUGCAUUGUAGCCAUAGUUAUCAGCCAUGCUGAUAACUGAUGACCUUGUGAAAGUCUUCCCACAAUGCGCUUCAUUGUACAGAAUCCACAACUUCUGUGACAAAUUAAUGAAUUUCCAUUAGGUUGCUUGCAAAAUAACCUUUGUUGGCAAAAAUAUCUUUAUCUAUAGAUGAUGCAAUGGGGAAUGUUUUUGCUGUUAGCAUGGGGAAAGAGCAAGAGGCACCAAUAUGAGAGGACAAUCUUUGGUGGAUUACUAAUUAAUGACAUUGUUUGGCAUCUGGGUUAUUUCUUAUUGAACUUGCUCUGUUUUAAUCUUCUCUUCUCCCCAUGCUUCCCAGUUUGGUAGUUUUCAUGUAUACGCAAUGUGUGACCUUCCAGAGCUACUUGCUACACUCUCAGGGGUAACCUUAGGAUUUGUGAGGCCCUCAUGAUCAGGAGACAGACAUCUGGGUGCAGCAAUCAGAUCUGCCUAUAAUUCCUCAAUAUCUUGUUGACUUACAGAAGGAGGUAUUGUGGAGUUCAAGGCUGCCUGGUUGGUGAGUGGAAUUAGGAGUCUAUAGCUGAAAGCAAAACAUGUAUGGAGUUAGGCAUAUGUGGAAGCUAAGCAAUGCAGAGCUACCCUGUGUCCCUUACUGUGUUGCACAUUCCAAGUACUCCUUUCAUAACUCCUUGUGGCCAUCUACAUUAAUGUCAAUCAAUCCACAAAGAGCUAGCGAUAGUCAAGUGUUUUUCAAGGUGAUAUGAUAGUUUUGCUUUGAUGUACAUGCUGAUUUAAUUCAUCCCAACAUAAUCUGUGGUUAAGCAGGCAUACAACUGUAUGGAGAAAAACCAUGGAAUGAAUAUGCAUACCAUGAGCAGUGAUAAUGGUAUAUCCUACUGGCUCAAAAGCUUGAGUUGUGACUCAGGAUGUUUCUGGAUCAAAUCUUGCCUCUGCCAAGUGGUAAGAUGUAAGAAUUAGAACCAAAGUAGGUGAAGUGUUUUGAACACACUAAAGCAUAUUAUGAAUGUUAAACAUUAUUAUUGAUUGAUAACCCAUCUACUAUAUCACCUUCACCUCUAAAAUCUUAUAUGUUUCAAGCCUUGAGUAGUGGGGUGGCAAUAGAAAUGUUGAGGGCAUUUUGAACAUUAGUAUCUUCUUGAUACAUGAAUGAGCUUAUCAACUCCUCAUUCAUCAAAGUAAUGUUGCAAACCAUAACAGUGCAACCCCCCCCCCGGCAAGCUGCACCACUUUCCAAUUAAUAUGCCAGCAUGGCAUAAUUAUCCAUGGCAUACAGACAGUGGCUUUAGGAUCUGACUUAAACAUAAGGUUUCUGGAAGGCCACAUGAAUAACCAAUUUAGCCUAUUUGAAUUGAGUUUAAGAGAAUACACCACAAAAAGUCCAUAAAUGAAUGGAAGUGAUGUAAAAAACUGUCUUUUAAUAACCAUGUCAGGGUGCAUAUCAAAAGGGCUCCACAUUAUGCAACCCAAGUACUCCUUUUAUAACUCCUGGAAGACUUGCUGGGAGACUUGCUUCUGUGGACAAUACCACUUUCUUUCAUAGAAAGCUUCUUGAUGACAGAUUACAGUAGCCUUGUUUUCUUUAGUUGCUGUGACAGCACAAAUAGCUGAGAGACCGCAACAGUAUCCAGAAAGGGCUCUAUUCAUAUUCUUCCCCGCACAUACAUAU